rnacentral:lncRNA from 1 species
AUCCACAUCAUCUGUCGCAUCAGAUGAGAAAGGAGAAUAUGUCCAAAUAGAUAAAGAAAAGACCCAGGCCCUACAAAAGACCAUACAGGAAUGGACAAAGAUGCGGCAGUCCUCAGACCCUCCAAAGAUGCCAAGCUAUGAGAGUCCAGAGACCUUCAAUCUUAGCAAUGCCACAUGUUCUGCUGAAGAUGAUGAUGAUAAGAGUUCUGCUUACCCAGCCAAGGCUGUGGACUGCUUCUGCACCAACCCUUUGGAGUGGUUCCUUGGUGCUAAGACCACAAGGAGUAGCACCACGGCAGUGGAACGGGCAUGCUAGGAUAGGAGCUUGUUGGAGGACAGUAUGAUGUGCUCAGAGUGCUAAGUGCAACGAUGUAUUAUUCUACAGCACAGGGCUUGCUUGAUGGAUGCAUUAGUUAUACAUUGUCGAAUGCAAAAAGAAAAACUAUAAUAUACAUGAUAAUAAUUGACACACCUAAAGUACUAGUCACAUACCAGAUCAUGUUCUCC